ACGAACGCUGGCGGCGUGCUUAACACAUGCAAGUCGAGCGGUAAGGCCUUUCGGGGUACACGAGCGGCGAACGGGUGAGUAACACGUGGGUGACCUGCCCUCCACUCUGGGAUAAGCCUGGGAAACUGGGUCUAAUACCGGAUAUGACCUUCUCCUGCAUGGGGGUUGGUGGAAAGUUUUUUCGGUGGGGGAUGGGCCCGCGGCCUAUCAGCUUGUUGGUGGGGUGAUGGCCCACCAAGGCGACGACGGGUAGCCGGCCUGAGAGGGCGACCGGCCACACUGGGACUGAGACACGGCCCAGACUCCUACGGGAGGCAGCAGUGGGGAAUAUUGCGCAAUGGGCGAAAGCCUGACGCAGCGACGCCGCGUGGGGGAUGACGGCCUUCGGGUUGUAAACCUCUUUCGCCAGGGACGAAGCGUGAGUGACGGUACCUGGAUAAGAAGCACCGGCCAACUACGU
rnacentral:rRNA from 1 species